rnacentral:misc_RNA from 1 species
AACCUGAAUAAAUACACGACUCACCAAGCUUAUGUCACGAAAUCGUUGUUUCGCAUUUCCUUCUCUAGCUUACUUAUCUUUGUACUUGUAUUUUGUGAUAUCUUGCAAAGGAUUUUCGAAGUAUUUAUAAUUUUUCUGCGACUUAGAAAUUACCUUAUAUCGGUUUAAUAUAAGAGAAUAGACAUCAAGUUUUUGAAAAACGCUCAUAUGUAGAAAUAAUUAUAGAAAAGUUUUUAAAUAUUAAAUUUUGUCUAAACAUUGAGCUCGAAAGUAUGAAUGGUUAUAAUGACGCCAUUUUUAAAAUAUGUUUUCGGAAUAUAUAAAUAGUCCAGCUAAGGAAGACGAUUAAUUUUUAGAGAGUUUACUUCUACGUGGGGGUGUCAAUUUGUGGAAAAGUCGUCAUUCAGGAGAAAGUAAUUGCACUACCAAGUAUGGAAUCUGAAACAGAACCAGGAAGUUCCAAUUUGGGUGCACUAAUUGCAGCGCCAAUCGGAUCUAUUGUUGUUCUAGUUGCCUUAUGUUAUUGCAUGUACCGUUGCUGCUGCUGUUGUUGCAGAAGAGAUAAACAAGUCAUUGUCGUUAACACCACAAACAUGGUUCAAGCACAACCCGAAAAUCCAUCCGUUGUGAUUGUAAACAACAUGCCACCCACUAGGAGCGAAUUCGACAACCCAGUUUACAAUCUAUCAACUGCUCCACUUUUGACACAAGAAAUGUCAACAGCUUCCGAUUGGCCUGAAAGAAAGUUUUGAUUGCAGUUGCAUCGGAAACAUAUUUGCACAACAAACAAUUUGCACUGUUCAAUUAAAUAGCUUGAUAAUUCUUGA